UUUUGGAACAUAUAGCAAGACUACUGAAUGCUUAAAUUUACACAUUAUCUUGACUAGUUCAUUGUUUUUCUGGGUUUUAGAAACACGUGGUGAAGAUAUGGCUCAAAUUUCUUUUGAACCACUGGGUCUGCUUUGCUAAAUGUAACUUUACAACAAAAUGGAUGUUUAUACUGGUUUCCACCCAAAGGGUAGAGCGUGCAGUUCCCAGCUUGAUCUCUGGUGUAGAAGCUCUGCUGUACAGACAAUAUAGCAAAGUGAUCAACUUUUUAUGAUGAGGUGAGCCAAGCACAAAAUCUUCUUGGAUCACUCCUUAAAAAAAUGAAAUACUGUCAUUCACAACCUAAGCUAUU